rnacentral:rRNA from 1 species
GCCUAACACAUGCAAGCCGAGCGCGCAGCCAUCUGUCGCAAUACCGGUGGUGGGCGAGCGGCGAACGGGUGCGUAACACGUGGGCAACCUCCCCCAGACCCUGCGAUACCCCCGGGAAACCGGGGCUAAUACCGGCCACCCCCGGCCGGCCGCGUGACCGGCCGAGGAAAGCUCCGACGGGCUGGGAUGGGCCCGCGGUCUUUCAGCUUGUUGGUGGGGUAACGGCCUACCAAGGCGACGACGGGUAGCUGGUCUGAGAGGACGGCCAGCCACACUGGGACUGAGAUACGGCCCAGACUCCUACGGGAGGCAGCAGUGGGGAAUCUUGCGCAAUGGGCGAAAGCCUGACGCAGUGACGCCGCGUGAGGGAUGAAGGCCUUCGGGUUGUAAACCUCUUUCGGCAGGGACGAAGCGAAAGUGACGGUACCUGCAGAAGAAGCCCCGGCUAACUACGUGCCAGCCGCCGCCUAA